UGGGGAAUAUUGCACAAUGGGGGAAACCCUGAUGCAGCGACGCCGCGUGAGCGAUGAAGGCUUUCGAGUCGUAAAGCUCUGUCCUAUGGGAAGAUAAUGACGGUACCAUAGAAGAAAGCCCCGGCUAAUUACGUGCCAGCAGCCGCGGUAAUACGUAAGGGGCGAGCGUUGUCCGGAAUUAUUGGGCGUAAAGAGGGCGUAGGCGGCAAAUUAAGUCAGAUGUGAAAACUAAGGGCUCAACCCAUAGAUUGCAUCUGAAACUGAUAUGCUUGAGUCAAGGAGAGGAAAGUGGAAUUCCUAGUGUAGCGGUGGAAUGCGUAGAUAUUAGGAGGAAUACCGGUGGCGAAGGCGACUUUCUGGACUUGAACUGACGCUGAGGCACGAAAGCGUGGGGAGCAAACAGG
rnacentral:rRNA from 1 species